rnacentral:rRNA from 1 species
GACGAACGCUGGCGGCGUGCUUAACACAUGCAAGUCGAACGGAAAGGCCCUGCUCUUGUGGGGUGCUCGAGUGGCGAACGGGUGAGUAACACGUGAGUAACCUGCCCUUGACUUUGGGAUAACUUCAGGAAACUGGGGCUAAUACCGGAUAGGAGCUCCUGCUGCAUGGUGGGGGUUGGAAAGUUUCGGCGGUUGGGGAUGGACUAGCGGCUUAUCAGCUUGUUGGUGGGGUAGUGGCUUACCAAGGCUUUGACGGGUAGCCGGCCUGGGAGGGUGACCGGCCUCAUUGGGACUGCGAUACGGCCCAGACGCCUACGGGAGGCAGCAGUGGGGAAUAUUGCACAAUGGGCGGAAGCCUGAUGCAGCAACGCCGCGUGCGGGAUGACGGCCUUCGGGUUGUAAACCGCUUUCGCCUGUGACGAAGCGUGAGUGACGGUAAUGGGUAAAGAAGCACCGGCUAACUACGUG